UGGGGAAUAUUGCGCAAUGGGCGAAAGCCUGACGCAGCAACACCGCGUGAGGGAUGACGGCCUUCGGGUUGUAAACCUCUUUCAGCUCCGACGAAGCGAAAGUGACGGUAGGAGCAGAAGAAGCACCGGCUAACUACGUGCCAGCAGCCGCGGUAAUACGUAGGGUGCAAGCGUUGUCCGGAAUUAUUGGGCGUAAAGAGCUCGUAGGCGGUUCGGUAAGUCGGGUGUGAAACUCUGGGCUCAACCCAGAGAGGCCACUCGAUACUGCUGUGACUAGAGUGCGGUAGGGGAGCGGGGAAUUCCUGGUGUAGCGGUGAAAUGCGCAGAUAUCAGGAGGAACACCAGUGGCGAAGGCGCCGCUCUGGGCCGUAACUGACGCUGAGGAGCGAAAGCAUGGGUAGCAAAGCAGGAUUAGAUACCCUGGUAGUCCAUGCCGUAAACGUUGGGCACUAGGUGUGGGUCUCAACCAA
rnacentral:rRNA from 1 species